UUUUCUCACUGAUACUCGUUCGUUAUCUUCCACUCUCUUCGAUCAUCAUUUCAUAAUCCGAAGCGAAGAGGCAAAGAUCGAUGGCUUCUGCUGCAAAAGCAAUUAGUAGUCCUGUGCCAAUUGAAUGGUACCCAACCCUAGCCGUCGUAAUGCUCUCCAUUGGUCUUGUUGUCACCGCUUCCUUCUUCAUCUACGAAGCAACUUGUACGAAGCGAAACCGAUGUGUCGUCAAGGAGCUAAUCACUGGAGGAGUGGCAUCAUUGUUCCUGGUAUAACUUAUUGUAAUUGCUAU